AGAGUUUGAUCCUGGCUCAGGAUGAACGCUAGCGGCAGGCUUAACACAUGCAAGUCGAGGGGCAGCAUAAUGGAUAGCAAUAUCUAUGGUGGCGACCGGCGCACGGGUGCGUAACGCGUAUGCAACCUACCUUUAACAGGGGGAUAACACUGAGAAAUUGGUACUAAUACCCCAUAAUAUCAUAGAAGGCAUCUUUUAUGGUUGAAAAUUCCGAUGGUUAGAGAUGGGCAUGCGUUGUAUUAGCUAGUUGGUGGGGUAACGGCUCACCAAGGCGACGAUACAUAGGGGGACUGAGAGGUUAACCCCCCACACUGGUACUGAGACACGGACCAGACUCCUACGGGAGGCAGCAGUGAGGAAUAUUGGUCAAUGGACGCAAGUCUGAACCAGCCAUGCCGCGUGCAGGAAGACGGCUCUAUGAGUUGUAAACUGCUUUUGUACGAGGGUAAACGCAGAUACGUGUAUCUGUCUGAAAGUAUCGUACGAAUAAGGAUCGGCUAACUCCGUGCCAGCAGCCGCGGUAAUACGGAGGAUUCAAGCGUUAUCCGGAUUUAUUGGGUUUAAAGGGUGCGUAGGCGGUUUGAUAAGUUAGAGGUGAAAUUUCGGGGCUCAACCCUGAACGUGCCUCUAAUACUGUUGAGCUAGAGAGUAGUUGCGGUAGGCGGAAUGUAUGGUGUAGCGGUGAAAUGCUUAGAGAUCAUACAGAACACCGAUUGCGAAGGCAGCUUACCAAACUAUAUCUGACGUUGAGGCACGAAAGCGUGGGGAGCAAACAGGAUUAGAUACCCUGGUAGUCCACGCAGUAAACGAUGAUAACUCGUUGUCGGCGAUACACAGUCGGUGACUAAGCGAAAGCGAUAAGUUAUCCACCUGGGGAGUACGUUCGCAAGAAUGAAACUCAAAGGAAUUGACGGGGGCCCGCACAAGCGGAGGAACAUGUGGUUUAAUUCGAUGAUACGCGAGGAACCUUACCCGGGCUU
rnacentral:rRNA from 1 species